CGUAUCACCCAAGACAACUUUACGGAGUUGACGAUUGACGGAGCGAAGCGACGUCAAAGCGUUCAUUAAAGUCGAGUUGGCUUAGGGAUACGUUCGUUGGGUAGGGGAGCGUUCUGUAAGCCUGUGAAGGUGUGUCGUGAGGCAUGCUGGAGGUAUCAGAAGUGCGAAUGCUGACAUAAGUAACGAUAAAGCGGGUGAAAAGCCCGCUCGCCGGAAGACCAAGGGUUCCUGUCCAACGUUAAUCGGGGCAGGGUGAGUCGACCCCUAAGGCGAGGCCGAAAGGCGUAGUCGAUGGGAAACGGGUUAAUAUUCCCGUACUUGGUGUUACUGCGAAGGGGGGACGGAGAAGGCUAUGUUGGCCGGGCGACGGUUGUCCCGGUUUAAGCGUGUAGGUGU
rnacentral:rRNA from 1 species